AGCGGACCUCUUCGGAGGUCAGCGGCGGACGGGUGAGGAACACGUGGGUAAUCUGCCUUUCAGACCGGAAUAACGCCCGGAAACGGGCGCUAAUGCCGGAUACGCCCGCGAGGAGGCAUCUUCUUGCGGGGAAAGGCCCAAAUGGGCCGCUGAGAGAGGAGCCCGCGGCGCAUUAGCUGGUUGGCGGGGUAACGGCCCACCAAGGCGACGAUGCGUAGCCGACCUGAGAGGGUGACCGGCCACACUGGGACUGAGACACGGCCCAGACUCCUACGGGAGGCAGCAGUAGGGAAUCUUCCGCAAUGGGCGCAAGCCUGACGGAGCAACGCCGCGUGAGCGAAGAAGGCCUUCGGGUUGUAAAGCUCUGUUGCUCGGGGAGAGCGGCAUGGGGAGUGGAAAGCCCCAUGCGAGACGGUACCGAGUGAGGAAGCCCCGGCUAACUACGUGCCAGCAGCCGCGGUAAAACGUAGGGGGCGAGCGUUGUCCGGAAUCACUGGGCGUAAAGGGUGCGUAGGCGGUCGAGCAAGUCUGGAGUGAAAGUCCAUGGCUCAACCAUGGGAUGGCUCUGGAAACUGCUUGACUUGAGUGCUGGAGAGGCAAGGGGAAUUCCACGUGUAGCGGUGAAAUGCGUAGAGAUGUGGAGGAAUACCCGUGGCGAAGGCGCCUUGCUGGACAGUGACUGACGCUGAGGCACGAAA
rnacentral:rRNA from 1 species